rnacentral:rRNA from 1 species
UACGGAGGAUGCGAGCGUUAUCCGGAUUUAUUGGGUUUAAAGGGUGCGUAGGCGGGCUUUUAAGUCAGCGGUAAAAAUUCGGGGCUCAACCCCGUCCGGCCGUUGAAACUGGGGGUCUUGAGUGGGCGAGAAGAAGGCGGAAUGCGUGGUGUAGCGGUGAAAUGCAUAGAUAUCACGCAGAACCCCGAUUGCGGAGGCAGCCUUCCGGCGCCCUACUGACGCUGAGGCACGAAAGUGCGGGGAUCGAACAGG